rnacentral:rRNA from 1 species
AAAAGGNNGCGCAGGGCUGAUGAUUUAAGGCGUGACGUGAAAUGUAGCCCGCUUCAANCGGCUGAAACUGUNGUCGCGAAACUGGGUUAUACNUGAGNGAGUUUCGAUGUUGGCGGAAUUACGUGGUGUAGCGGUGAAAUGCUUAGAUAUUCACGAAGAACUCCGAUUGCGAAGGCAGCCAGCAAGGCCUUUACUGACGCUAAAGCUCGAAGGUGCGGGUAUCGAACAGGAUUAGAUACCCNUGGUAGUCCGCACGGUAAACGAUGGAUGCCCGCUGUUUGCAAUAUACUGUGAGCGGCCAAGAGAAAUCGUUAAGCAUCCCCACCUGGGGAGUACGCCGGCAACGGUGA